UAUGAUUUCGUCAUUUAAGCC
rnacentral:piRNA from 1 species